UACGUAGGGUGCGAGCGUUAAUCGGAAUUACUGGGCGUAAAGCGUGCGUAGGCGGUUCGCUGUGUCCGAUGUGAAAGCCCCGGGCUUAACCUGGGAAUGGCAUUGGAAACUGGCGGGCUUGAGUGUGGCAGAGGGGGGUGGAAUUCCGCGUGUAGCAGUGAAAUGCGUAGAGAUGCGGAGGAACACCGAUGGCGAAGGCAGCCCCCUGGGCUAACACUGACGCUCAGGCGCGAAAGCGUGGGGAGCAAACAGG
rnacentral:rRNA from 1 species